rfam:Triticum aestivum genome assembly, contig: Triticum_aestivum_CS42_TGACv1_scaffold_062487_1DL
CGAGUACUCCCUCCGUCCGAAAAUACUUGUCAUCAAAAUGGAUAAAAAGGGAUGUACAUCUAGUUACAUCCCUUUUUAUUCAUUUUGAUGACAAGUAUUUCCGGACAGAGAGAGUAUGUA